rnacentral:rRNA from 1 species
GGGGAAUUUUGGACAAUGGGCGCAAGCCUGAUCCAGCCAUGCCGCGUGAGUGAAGAAGGCCUUCGGGUUGUAAAGCUCUUUCAGACGGAAAGAAAUCUCUUGGGUUAAUACCCUGGGAGGAUGGCGGUACCGUAAGAAGAAGCACCGGCUAACUACGUGCCAGCAGCCGCGGUAAUACGUAGGGUGCGAGCGUUAAUCGGAAUUACUGGGCGUAAAGCGUGCGCAGGCGGUGAUGUAAGACAGAUGUGAAAUCCCCGGGCUCAACCUGGGAACUGCGUUUGUGACUGCAUCACUCGAGUACGGCAGAGGGAGGUGGAAUCCCGCGUGUAGCAGUGAAAUGCGUAGAUAUGCGGAGGAACACCGAUGGCGAAGGCAGCCUCCUGGGCCAGUACUGACGCUCAUGCACGAAAGCGUGGGGAGCAAAC